rnacentral:rRNA from 1 species
GCCCAGACUCCUACGGGAGGCAGCAGUGGGGGAUAUUGCACAAUGGGGGGAACCCUGAUGCAGCGACGCCGCGUGGGUGAAGAAGCGCCUCGGCGCGUAAAGCCCUAUCGGCAGGGAAGAAGGAGGACGGUACCUGACUAAGAAGCCCCGACUAACUACGUGCCAGCAGCCGCGGUAAUACGUAGGGGGCAAGCGUUAUCCGGGUUUACUGGGUGUAAAGGGGGCGCAGACGGCAGCGCAAGCCAGGAGUGAAAGCCCGGGGCCCAACCCCGGGACUGCUCUUGGAACUGCGCGGCUGGAGUGCAGGAGGGGCAGGCGGAAUUCCUGGUGUAGCGGUGAAAUGCGUAGAUAUCAGGAGGAACACCGGUGGCGAAGGCGGCCUGCUGGACUGCGAAUGACGUUGAGGCCCGAAAGCGUGGGGAGCAAACAGGAUUAGAUACCCUCGUAC